CCAGAGUCAAUUAAAACACAGGAAGGCUGACAUUUGCAGAAUACCGCAUGAUCAAAGCGCAAAAUGCCCAUACAGCCUCUGACAUAAAACCAGCGUGUCUGACGGAAGACUGACACGCUGUAACAGGUCAGCUCCCCCCUCCCACAAUGCAUCCCCAACAGCCAAUGCUGAACACCCACAUUCAUUAUGAUGAUUAAGGAAUUCUUCCAUCUUUCUGCCUUGAUGUGUUUAUUAAAUUAAUGAAGGGGGAGACAGAUGAAUUUGUGUGCACAGGGUAGAAGCAGGCAGAGGGCCUGGUUCUCUCUGCCACGCUCACGUCGUAAUUGGCUUAAUGGAUUUUCCGUGGUCCGGGAUGUCUCCUUCUUCCUCUCUCAGGCAAACUAAUUACGGCUUUUUACAUUAAAUUCUAAUAGAUUUCAAUUUA